CCUCAGUGAUGUGGCUUCUUCCACGGGAGAGCACUGAACUGUGAGCCACAGUGGCCCCAUCUGGUGGCUGUCCUGCCUACUUCCCAGCCUCGUGAUCUUGGGCAAGUCAAUUCCCAUCUCUGAGCCUCAAUUUCCUCAUCCCUCUCCUGGGCUGUGGUGGAGAUGACAGGGUCCAGUGGUCAGGAAGCAGGCUGACGGCUGCAAAAGACUUAUCUCUUCCCCCCACAACCAUCCUCACCAGAAUUUUGGCCAGAAACAAGAGGAGUCCUGUCCGAGGAGAGCCCGGCUGGCUGACUGGAAUCCCAAGACAUGCCAAGGUCCCUGGGAAAUGACAGGACACCCAGAUCUGCUGGGAGCAGAGUUCUCAUAGGGUCCCAGCUGAGCCCUGGAACUCCCCAGACCCCCUCUGCCACUCCAUCUCUGCGUCAGCCCAGCACCUGUGCCCUAUCCGGCUUUGGCCACCAUCUCCACCCUGGGGAGGGGGAGCAUAACCCCCUCCAGCCUGAGGUUGGCGCCAAGGUUUAGGAGCCAGCACAGAAGCCUCUGAGAGCCAUAAGGGUAGAAAAGGUUACCCGGUACUAAACCAGCCAGCCUCGGGGUGAUCUCAUCCACUUCCCAAGAUAAGCCCCCUCCCCCACCCUCUGGCCACUGGCCAACAGGUUAACAGAGAGACUCCCUCACUGGAAGCAACUCAGAGUGGCUGAAGCACAGAAGUGGUAGAGAGACAGGUCUCUAUUGCUCAGGCUGGAGUGCAGUGGCAUGAUCAUAGCUCACUGUAACCUCAAACUCCUGGGUUCAAGCGAUCCUUCUGCCUCAGCCUCCCAAGUGGCUGGAACUACAGGGGUGUGCGACCACUCCUGGCUCAUUUUGUUCAACAUUAUUUUGUUACAACAUUGAUGAAGAAAAAAAUCUAUUUCUGGCUGGGGCUACUGUCUGUGUGGAGUCUGUAGAGGACUUUCUCUGGGUACUCUGGUUUCUUCCCCCAUCCCAAAGAUGUGCAUGUUAGAUUAACUAGCUUGUCUGCAUGCUCCCAGUCUGCAUGAGUGUGAGUGUACUCAAGGCAAUGGCAUCCUGUCUAGGCCUGGUUCCCGCCUGGCGCCCUGAGCUGCUGGGAUAGGCUCCAGCCAUCCAUGACCUUGAACUGGAAUAACUGGAUAAAUAAUUCUAUUACUUGUUUUUAUUAAUCUUUCUUUCUUUCUUUUUUUUUUUUUUUUUUGAGAUGGAGUUUCACUCUUGUUGCCCACGCUGGAGUGCAAUGACACAAUCUUGGCUCACUGCAACCUCCGCCUCCUGGAUUCAAGAAAUUCUCCUGCCUCAGCCUCCUGAGCAGCUGGGAUUACAGGUGCCCACCACCAAGCCCGGCUAAUUUUUGUAUUUUUAGGAGAGACAGGGUUUCGCCAUGUUGGCCAGGCUGGUCUCAAAUCCCUGACCUCAGGUGAUCCACCUUCCCCAGCCUCCCAAAGUGCUGGGAUUACAGGUGUGAGCCACCACACCUGGCCUUGUUUCUAUUAGUCUUUCUUACACGUGUUUCAAUGUUUAAUAUGAGAAGCAUUUGGGUCUUUAUUUAGAAGUCUGAUGAUAUUUCUAUCACCAGAAAUAUGCUGUAGGAACUUAACUCUUGUUUAUGUCAAUUAGCCUAUGACAAAAUUGGUUUCCUUGUAUGUCAUUUUGCUUAAAGCUGCAAUUUCCAAGAACUACAUUAAGUGAGGACAUUAUAUAAAGACUUACUAUAUUCUAUUAGUUGUUGUCAGGCCUCUGAGCUCAAGCUAAGCCAUCAUAUCCCUUGUGACCUGCACCUAUACAUCCAGAUGGCCUGGAGCAACUGAAGAUCCAC
rnacentral:lncRNA from 1 species